AUUGAACGCUGGCGGCAGGCCUAACACAUGCAAGUCGAGCGGCAGCACGGGUACUUGUACCUGGUGGCGAGCGGCGGACGGGUGAGUAAUGCCUAGGAAUCUGCCUGGUAGUGGGGGAUAACGCUCGGAAACGGACGCUAAUACCGCAUACGUCCUACGGGAGAAAGCAGGGGACCUUCGGGCCUUGCGCUAUCAGAUGAGCCUAGGUCGGAUUAGCUAGUUGGUGAGGUAAUGGCUCACCAAGGCGACGAUCCGUAACUGGUCUGAGAGGAUGAUCAGUCACACUGGAACUGAGACACGGUCCAGACUCCUACGGGAGGCAGCAGUGGGGAAUAUUGGACAAUGGGCGAAAGCCUGAUCCAGCCAUGCCGCGUGUGUGAAGAAGGUCUUCGGAUUGUAAAGCACUUUAAGUUGGGAGGAAGGGCAGUUACCUAAUACGUAUCUGUUUUGACGUACCGA
rnacentral:rRNA from 1 species